rnacentral:rRNA from 1 species
GACGAACCGUGCGAACGUUAUUCGGAAUCACUGGGCUUAAAGCGCGCGCAGGCGGCUUGGUAAGUCGGAUGUGAAAUCCCGAGGCUCAACCUCGGGUCUGCAUCCGAUACUGCCCGGCUAGAGGUAGGUAGGGGAGAUCGGAAUUCCUGGUGUGAGCGGUGGAAAUGCGCAGAUAUCAGGAGGAACACCGGUGGCGAAGGCGGAUCUCUGGACCAGCACUGACACUGAGGCACGAAAGCGUGGGGAGCAAACAGG